rnacentral:lncRNA from 1 species
CAUAGUGCCUAUAUAAAGGGUAUAUCUCUAGGAUUUCUAGCUAAUUGAUUUUUGAUGAAAAAUCUCUCUCUCUCUCUCCCUUCUCCAUGCCCCUCUCCUCCCUCUCUUCUCUUCUAUGCCCAAAAGUUGGGCAUCUUCUUUUUCCACAUGCCAAGAAGUACUGCUUUGUCUUCAAGAGUGAAGAUCGAGGAGAAGAAGAAGAAGACUGCUGAUCAAGGAGUUGAUCCCG